UGGCGAACGGGUGAGUAACACGUGGGUGAUCUGCCUUGCACUUCGGGAUAAGCUUGGGAAACUGGGUCUAAUACCGGAUAGGACAGCUGUUUAGUGUCAGUUGUGGAAAGUUUUUCGGUGCAAGAUGAGCUCGCGGCCUAUCAGCUUGUUGGUGGGGUAAUGGCCUACCAAGGCGUCGACGGGUAGCCGGCCUGAGAGUGUGUACGGCCACAUUGGGACUGAGAUACGGCCCAG
rnacentral:rRNA from 1 species